GAUGAACGCUGGCGGCGUGCCUAAUACAUGCAAGUCGAGCGAACAGACGAGGAUUUUGCUCCUCUGACGUUAGCGGCGGACGGGGGAGUAACACGUGGAUCACCUACCUAUAAGACUGGGAUAACUUCGGGAAACCGGAGCUAAUACCGGAUAAUAUAUUGAACCGCAGGGUUCAAUAGUGAAAGACGGUUUUGCUGUCACUUAUAGAUGGAUCCGCGCCGCAUUAGCUAGUUGGUAAGGUAACGGCUUACCAAGGCAACGAUGCGUAGCCGACCUGAGAGGGUGAUCGGCCACACUGGAACUGAGACACGGUCCAGACUCCUACGGGAGGCAGCAGUAGGGAAUCUUCCGCAAUGGGCGAAAGCCUGACGGAGCAACGGCGCGUGAGUGAUGAAGGUCUUCGGAUCGUAAAACUCUGUUAUUAGGGAAGAACAAAUGUGUAAGUAACUAUGCACGUCUUGACGGUACCGAAUCAGAAAGCCACGGCUAACUACGUG
rnacentral:rRNA from 1 species